GAUGAAGAACGUAGCGAAAUGCGAUAAGUAAUGUGAAUUGCAGAAUUCAGUGAAUCAUCGAAUCUUUGAACGCACCUUGCACCCUUUGGUAUUCCGAAGGGUAUGCUCGUUUGAGUGUCAUUGUACUCUCACACUUCUAAUUCCUUUCGGGAUUGGGAGCGGUGGACUUGGGUGUUGCUGCUUUAGUUGUGGCUCACCUCAAAUAAGUUAGUGCAACUCUUGGUUGGACAUAGUACGGCGUGAUAAGUGUCUUCGCCGGCGCCUCUGUAAGGAGGGUGGCCGAUCGGGAGCUCUGUGCUUCAAACCGUCUUCGGACAAUCUUUGACAACUUGACCUCAAAUCGAGUAGGACUACCCGCUGAACUUGAGCAUAUCAAUGAGCGGAGGA
rnacentral:misc_RNA from 1 species